rnacentral:rRNA from 1 species
UACGGAGGAUGCGAGCGUUAUCCGGAUUUAUUGGGUUUAAAGGGAGCGCAGACGGGGGAUUAAGUCAGUUGUGAAAGUUUGGGGCUCAACCUUAAAAUUGCAGUUGAUACUGGUCUUCUUGAGUGCAGUUGAGGCAGGCGGAAUUCGUGGUGUAGCGGUGAAAUGCUUAGAUAUCACGAAGAACCCCGAUUGCGAAGGCAGCUUGCUAAACUGUAACUGACGUUCAUGCUCGAAAGUGUGGGUAUCAAACAGG